UACGUAGGCAGCAAGCGUUGUUCGGAGUUACUGGGCGUAAAGGGUGUGUAGGCGGUUGUUUAAGUUUGGUGUGAAAAUCUCCCCGGCUCAACUGGGAGGGUGCGCCGAAUACUGAAUGACUAGAGUGCGGGAGAGGAAAGUGGAAUUCCUGGUGGUAGCGUGAAAUGCGUAGAUAUCAGGAGGAACACCGGUGGUGUAGACGGCUUUCUGGACCGUAACUGACGCUGAAACACGAAAGCGUGGGUAGCAAACAGG
rnacentral:rRNA from 1 species